rnacentral:misc_RNA from 1 species
GGCAUGUUGGUGGUCCAAUGAGAGGUGCUGGUGCUGAACAAAUCUCAGUGUUGGUGAGACCAAUGCAAGAAAGCAAAAUAAGCAAGAAUGCAUUACGCUUAUUUUAUUCACUUGGCUACAAGCUAGACCAUGAGCAGCUGAGAGUUGGUUUUGCAUUUCAUUUCCAAAGAGGUGCCCAGAUAACUGUAACAGUUUCAUCCAUCAACAAGAUGUUGAAACCUCAUGCUAUCGAUGAUGCAGUGCCUGUGACUCCAGGCAUACAGCUAGUUGAAGUGACUGCACCAGCUUCAUCUGAAAAUUACAAUGAAGUUGUUGCAUCUGUAACGUCCUUCUGUGAAUAUCUUGCACCGCUCCUUCAUUUGUCAAAACCCGGUGUCUCAACAGGGGUUGUUCCUACUGCAGCUGCAGCUGCUGCAUCUCUGAUGUCUGAUGGUGGAGGCACAAAGUGAAUGGAAAAAUUACUCAGUACCAUUUCUGUCUUAAAUCUCUGUUGCAGUUAUCAUAGCUGAAGAAUGAGACGUAUUUCGCCAUUCUCCUUCCCAAUAACUUCAAUGUUUGUCCUUCUGUAAUUGACGUUA